rnacentral:snRNA from 1 species
GUGCUCGCUUUGGCAGCACAUAUACUAAAAUUGGAACAAUACAGUGAAGAUUAGCAUGGCCUUUGCCCAAGGAUGACAAGCAAAUUUGUGAAGUGUUCCAUAUGUUU